AAGUAUCUCCGAGUCCCGCCACGGAUGGUGGAGAUAGGAGUAACGGCUGGUUGGCACAGCCAUCGACGUACCUAUUUGAGAAGAAAACUGGUGCGUUCGCACCUCAAGAACAGAUCACGUCGUAAACCACAAUAUCCCAACGGCGGUCGGGAAUCCCACGACUUCAGUCGUGUGG
rnacentral:ncRNA from 1 species